UCAGUCGAAGAUACCAGCUGGCUGCAACUGUUUAUUAAAAACACAGCACUGUGCAAACACGAAAGUGGACGUAUACGGUGUGACGCCUGCCCGGUGCCGGAAGGUUAAUUGAUGGGGUUAUCGCAAGAGAAGCUCCUGAUCGAAGCCCCGGUAAACGGCGGCCGUAACUAUAACGGUCCUAAGGUAGCGAAAUUCCUUGUCGGGUAAGUUCCGACCUGCACGAAUGGCGUAAUGAUGGCCAGGCUGUCUCCACCCGAGACUCAGUGAAAUUGAACUCGCUGUGAAGAUGCAGUGUACCCGCGGCAAGACGGAAAGACCCCGUGAACCUUUACUACAGCUUGACACUGAACAUUGAGCCUUGAUGUGUAGGAUAGGUGGGAGGCUUUGAAGCGUGGACGCCAGUCUGCGUGGAGCCGACCUUGAAAUACCACCCUUUAAUGUUUGAUGUUCUAACCUGGCGCCGUGAUCCGGCGUGGGGACAGUGUCUGGUGGGUAGUUUGACUGGGGCGGUCUCCUCCCAAAGUGUAACGGAGGAGCACGAAGGUCAGCUAAUCCUGGUCGGACAUCAGGAGGUUAGUGCAAUGGCAUAAGCUGGCUUGACUGCGAGAGUGACGGCUCGAGCAGGUGCGAAAGCAGGUCAUAGUGAUCCGGUGGUUCUGUAUGGAAGGGCCAUCGCUCAACGGAUAAAAGGUACUCCGGGGAUAACAGGCUGAUACCGCCCAAGAGUUCAUAUCGACGGCGGUGUUUGGCACCUCGAUGUCGGCUCAUCACAUCCUGGGGCUGAAGUAGGUCCCAAGGGUAUGGCUGUUCGCCAUUUAAAGUGGUACGCGAGCUGGGUUUAGAACGUCGUGAGACAGUUCGGUCCCUAUCUGCCGUGGGCGCUGGAGAAUUGAGGGGGGCUGCUCCCAGUACGAGAGGACCGGAGUGGACGCAUCACUGGUGUUCGGGUUGUCAUGCCAAUGGCACUGCCCGGUAGCUAAAUGCGGAAGAGAUAAGUGCUGAAAGCAUCUAAGCACGAAACUUGCCCCGAGAUGAGUUCUCCCUGAGACUGUAAGUCUCCUGAAGGAACGUUGAAGACGACGACGUUGAUAGGCCGGGUGUGUAAGCGCAGCGAUGCGUUGAGCUAACCGGUACUAAUGAACCGUGAGGCUUAACCUUA
rnacentral:rRNA from 1 species